GCCAAGUUAAGCAUCCACAUCACAAUCGAGUGUGACUGUCAGCUCCUUAUUAAUCUUGAAGCAUGUUCCUAUCCAUGAACUCAUUUGCUGGGACAUCAUCCAGGACAAGAACCUUCCCAAUGCCCAUUGAAUUGCUUUUGAAGAACCCAGCAAAUAAAGUAUUUCUUGUGCUUGACCCAAGCAUUGAUUACCUCUCUCAUUUUAUCCCUACGGUUUUUAGUUAAUUUCUUCUGCUUUUCAGUUCUGCUGAUUAUUAUGUUGGAGAGA
rnacentral:lncRNA from 1 species